AAAACAUCGCCUCUUGCAAAGUAAUGAAUAAGAGGUCCCGCCUGCCCUGUGACUCUAAGUUUAACGGCCGCGGUAUUUUGACCGUGCGAAGGUAGCGCAAUCACUUGUCUUUUAAAUGGAGACCUGUAUGAAUGGCAUAACGAGGGCUUAGCUGUCUCCUUUCUCUAGUCAAUGAAAUUGAUCUCCCCGUGCAGAAGCGGGGAUAAAACCAUAAGACGAGAAGACCCUAUGGAGCUUUAGACGCCAAGACAGACCAUGUUAAACACCUCCCCAUAAGGAGCCCAAACCAAAUGGUCCCUGCCCUAGUGUCUUUGGUUGGGGCGACCGCGGGGAAACAUAAAACCCCCAUGUGGAAUGGGAGCACCCUCUCCUACAACUAAGAGCUACAGCUCUAAUGAACAGAAUUUCUGACCAACAAGAUCCGGCAAUGCCGAUCAACGGACCGAGUUACCCUAGGGAUAACAGCGCAAUCCCCUUUUAGAGCCCAUAUCGACAAGGGGGUUUACGACCUCGAUGUUGGAUCAGGACAUCCUAAUGGUGCAGCCGCUAUUAAGGGUUCGUUUGUUCAACGAUUAAAGUCCUACGUG
rnacentral:rRNA from 1 species